rnacentral:lncRNA from 1 species
GUCUGGGCCGGGUAAGGGGUGUUACAGCUAUAGUUGUGAAAAUGAUUUGUCUAGGCUUAAAAUGCAAGGAAAUUGGAUAAAAAUCAUUUUACGAGCCUUGGGGAAAAAGUGAAAAUAUGUGAAAGUUUAGGGGUCAAAAUAAAAAUUUGUAAAAAUAUGAUUUCUGGACCCAUAUGAAUAAUGUGACUAAUUAUUAAAUUAAAUGUGAUAUUAUAGAUCAAGGAAAAUGAGAUUCGGGCAUAGAUUGGGAAUGAAUGAGAUUAUGGACUAAAUUGGAAAAAAUUGCCGUGCUCGUAUUCGAG